rnacentral:rRNA from 1 species
AGUGAACGCUGGCGGUAGGCCUAACACAUGCAAGUCGAACGGCAGCACAGUAAGAGCUUGCUCUUACGGGUGGCGAGUGGCGGACGGGUGAGGAAUACAUCGGAAUCUACUUUUUCGUGGGGGAUAACGUAGGGAAACUUACGCUAAUACCGCAUACGACCUACGGGUGAAAGCAGGGGAUCUUCGGACCUUGCGCGAUUGAAUGAGCCGAUGUCGGAUUAGCUAGUUGGCGGGGUAAAGGCCCACCAAGGCGACGAUCCGUAGCUGGUCUGGGAGGAUGAUCAGCCACACUGGAACUGAGACACGGUCCAGACUCCUACGGGAGGCAGCAGUGGGGAAUAUUGGACAGUGGGCGCAAGCCUGAUCCAGCCAUACCGCGUGGGUGAAGAAGGCCUUCGGGUUGUAAAGCCCUUUUGUUGGGAAAGAAAAGCAGCAGGUUAAUACCCCGCUGUUCUGACGGUACCCAAAGAAUAAGCACCGGCUAACUUCGUG